UCUUCUUCAAAGCCCACGCCAGUGCCAGAUCGUGACUUGCUAUGUUACCAACUGCUUAACAGUGGGCUUGGCCUGUAGUGUUAAUGUCAGAAUAUAAAAUGGGGUCUGAGCCCCAAGGCUACAGCUUUGCUCCUGCCUCCCAGUGCUUCCUUGAGUGGGCAGCCACUCACACCCUCUGCAGCCCAGAAGCCUAGGAGCAACGGGAAACUAAGAGAAGGGAGCCAGCAUGUCACCACGCCUGUCCUGACCCCAGCGCUCGGCAGCUGUGGCGCCCAGAGCUCCCAGGGCUGCGUUAGGACCUCCGUGGGCCUGCGAACUUUUGCUUUGUGAAAACCAUUUCCUCCUUGUCAUGGACUCCAUCCAGAGGCUGCGCCCAUCUCCCACGUCAACAGUCCUGUGUCCUUGGCGGAGGACAGUGCUCUCAUUCUGGGCUUUUCCCUUCUUCCUCAGCCAGACCUCACUCCUGCACCUCCCCGCAGCUAAUAAAAAGGCUGAGCUCCCUGGUGCAGGAAAGGCCCCCACCCGCUGGCAUUCACGUGAGACCUGCAGGGGCCACUGGUCCCAAUCCUCAACUCCUCUCGCCACGUGUUCCCAGGGCAACUAGCUCUGUCCCAGCCUCGGUGUGUCCCUGGGCUGAAUGGAAUCCGGACACAACCACCUUCCAAAGCCAAACAGCCCCAGUGAACUGCAGAAAUGAAGAGUGGGUGCCACCUGCCACCGAGAAAAGAAAGUCUCCUGUGAGAGGGCAUGACUUGAUUUGGGUCAAAAGGCACUUGCUGGCGCAGGAAGGCAGGAUUUGGGGGAGUUGUGGGCGGAGUGGAGUAUGUUUCCUCUUGUCUGGUGGGAUCAGCCCCUCCAGCAAGCAGCCACCUGGCCCAGCUCUGGAAGAUGUGGAGAACGAAUUUCACAGUGAUUUCCAUGGGGCCAGGGCACUGAAACAGCUGCAAGAGGGGACACAGCUGGCACUGCCGUCACCCCAUCUAGUGGAGCUGCUCUGGAGAAAUGCCACCCUCCCUAUGGAAAGUGAGAGAUCCUACUUGCUUCUUUCCAGAGGUCAUGUGAAAGUCCCUCUGAGCUAACCCUGACUGGCAAGGGUACAGGUUGGCUUUUAUUAAAAUAAAAUCCUAUUGUCACUUAUACCAGGGGCUCCCAAACCUGGCAGAACAUCAGGAUCACCCAGAAUAUUGAUUUAAAAAUAAAAAUUAAUGAAAAUAAUAAGUUUGGGAACCCACACCAGACCUAAGAAUCAGCAACUUUUUGGGUAAGGCUCGAGCUAGAAUAAAUGUGAAUCAAUUCAAUCAGACUCUCUCCCAACUCCAGGAGUGAGCCCAUAGAAUGAGAGCCCAUAGGAGGGAGAAUGGUGGGGGCUCCAGUGACAGAGAAUAAGGCUUCGAGUCGCCACCCGUAGGGAUCUCUGUGUGCAUGCCGGAGAACUGAAGUCUUCUCAUACAUUGUCAGACAAACCCAUGAGGUAUGUCCAGUUCUUAUUCUCAUUUUGCUGAUGAGGAAAUGGGAGCUCAGAGAGGUCACACGGGUAGUAAGAGGCAGAGCCAGAACUCAGGUCCAGCUCUUUCUCUUAACAUUCUGCUGUGGAAGGGAUAAUGUGAAACCUGGCAGCACCUUGGGAGUUAGGCCACUACGUGACCCAGUUGUGGUUUCAACACCAUGCGUUUUCUGGACACUUGUCUCUGGUGGGCUCAGUUCCCCUGUGCUCGCUCCCCUCACAUCAGUUCAUCAAGCACGUGUGGAUGCAGAGAUGGUCAGGAUGGCCACCAUCAAGACAGGACAGCUCAGUGAAAGGGCAUCUGGUUCCAGUACCAACACCCCAAACUGUAAAGGGGGCCUGGGUAUACUUUCUAUGUAAAGAGGCAGAUGGACUGGUGGGCGACCUGUGGGGGUCCAUCAGCUCUUCAAAAACAGGCUCAGUAGAGCCCAGCACAACCUCACUAGACACUGUCCCUUUCCCACUCUAAGCCCCUCCAUGGCAAGAGCCUUCUCUUGUCUGCAAGAACAAAAUCAGUUCCUCCUUUAAUUACAAUGAGCCUCUCCCAACACCACAGGGAAGGGCAGUGAACAGUGCCCAGCACACUGCUUGGGAGAGGAUGUCUGCAUGGCUAUCUCCCUGCUAGCUUCUCACAGGCCAGGAGACUGACCCUUUCCAGCGCUGUAUCCUGUGCUCUAUAUCAGGACUGGGGACGGCAUUGUACAGGAAGAAAGAGAAGGAAGAAAGGAAAGGGAAGGAAAGGAAGGAAGGAAGGAAGGAAGGAAGGUCGGGCUCAAAGAGGCCCUUCACUCCGGAGGCCUCUGAAGACACCAGCCUGAUCAGUCGGGUCCCACGACACCGCCCCGGCCGGGUCAGCUUUGCCCCUCUCGGACUCUCCUGGGUGAGGGACUGUUAAGGCGGGGCUGUGACUGGAUGGCCGAGGCUGAGCCGAGGAGGACCACUGCUGGGAAUGAGUUCCCACACCCCUGCCUCUCCAUUCAGACAUCCUGGAUACCACUCAACAUCCUGGAGUAGGGCCCAGGAUUCUUAGGCCACAUCAGAUGGGCAGCUGAGGGCCCUGCCUUGGAGGAAGGCAUAAUCCUUUGUGAGUUGGGGCUGGAGUGAAUUCUUCACAGGUUGCGGAUGCCCCUCAGGCAUAGGCUGAGGGAUGAGGGCCCCAGAUUGGGGCACCAGACUUCUGGCUGCAGGGUAGUCAGGGCCUCCCUUCUGACAAAGAAGAGGCGGUAAUAUGGGUCCCAGAGACUCAGCAGUGAAUAGAGAGGGGAGAGGCCAGGCCCAUUUCACUAGAGGUCCAGUCAGGCAGACACUCAGCAUGAGCAUCAGGGCUGGAAGAAGUCUGCGGAGACUGAUCACCUGAAGCUACAGGUGAGACCCAGAGAGGGAUACUUUCUGCCAAAGGCUAAGUAAUGGCCCCAGAUAUGUUCAGGUAAUCCACAGAACCUGUGAAUAUUCUUAUAUGGCAUAAGAACUUUGUGGAUGUGAUUAAAUUAAGUCUUGAGAUGGGGAUUAUCCGGUGGGCCCAGUGUGAUCCAAGUACCCUUACAAGAGGGUGCGGGAGAGCUAGGAUUGGAGGGGGCCAUGCAGUGACGGAGCAGAGGUUGGAAUGAUGCUCCCUGCAGAUGGAGGAAGGGGCCACAAGCCAGGGAACUCAGGCACUAGAUGCCGGAAAAGGCAAAAGGCCAGGAGACCCAUCCUCCCCUGCAGCCCCCAGGAGAAGCCAAACCCUUGACUUAAGCCCAGUGAGACUGAUUUGAACUUUGUACCUGCAGAGGAUAAAUUUGUAUUAUUUAAGCCAUUCAGUUUGUGGUGAUCUGUUACACAGCAAUAGGAAAGUCAUAUGCCUGUGAUCCCUGCUCUGUGUACCCCACUGAACUGGUCCUAGCCAAGGUCACCAGGGACCAAAGUUUUGCCAACCCAGGGGCCCUUAUCAGUACUUCUGUCUCUUGACCUUUUGGCAGUGUUUGAUAUAUCCAAUUGCCAAAGGGUUCCCCUGCUUCCUCCUCAGCAAACUGGUAUUUCUGAAGUACAUUCCCACCUUCCCUGCCUGUUGAAAUCUGAUUCACUUGUCUGUUCCUCCAGUCACCUCCUCCAGGAAGUCUUCCAUGUCCAUCAUGCCAUAUUCCUGAUUUUUUAAAUUUUGGUUUGUUUGGUUUUUAAUUAGUGAUCUUUAUUUUUUAGCACAGCUAUAGGUUCACAGCAAAAUCGAGCUUACAGUACAGAGAGUUUCAUGCAGCACUGUUUUCAUAAGGUUUGCCAGCUUCCAUUGACAUUACCUUCUUUAUUCUGCUCAACAGCUCUGUGAGGUAGGAUGAAUUUUAUCCUUUCUCUUUUUUUGAUCCAGCUUUAUUGAAGCAUAAUUGAAUAAAUAAAAAUUGUAUAAUGUGAGGUGAACAACGUGAUGGUUUGAUAUAGGUAUACAUUGUGAGAUGAUUAUCACAAUCAAGCUAAUUAACAUGUGUUAAUCAAGCAUAAUUAACACAACAACCCUUUUGGGGGUGAAAAUAGUUAUGAUCUAAUGCAUAAUUUAAUAUUAGUAACUAUAGUCACCAUGCUAAUGUAUUAUAUCUCCAGAAAUUAUUCCUCUUAUAAUUGAAAGUUUGUCCCCUUUGACCAACAUCUCUCCAUUUCCCCUACGCCCCGCUGUUUUCUCAGUGCCUGGUACACAGCAGGUGCACAAUGAAGAUCCACUGAAAGUGACUCUGGUGUGAGCCUGGCCUCCUCACAGGGCCUCUGCCUCAGGUGGCACUGGGCCACUUUCCCACAGGGCCCACCCUCUGUGGUUUGGCAACACUGGGCAAUGGAAAGAGGCCCAGAGCCGUGUCUCCUGGUCCUAACCUAUCUCUCACAUGCCGGGGCCUUGUGGCCUUGGACUCCCCAUCUGAAGAGGGGUCAGAUGAUCUCUGCCCUGGUUACCCUCCUGGAGGCCCCAAGGAUGGGUUGGAAGGGAAUCCUCCACAGAGGGUGCUCCCACACCAGGCUCUGGGGGCUUCGAGUAGGACCUGCUCAGGUUGUGCACCUGAGCCCAGGACCUGACUACCAAGCCCAGGAGAGCACCUGCCCCAACCUGAGCUCCCUCUGCUUGGCUCACACAGCUCCCCGGGGCUCCAGGGUGUUUCUGAGAGGCUGUGGGGAGCAGCAGGGGCUGAGCCCAGCCUGGGAGCACCAAGGACUUCAGGCCUUAGCUUCUGGCAGGGCUCCAGGCACACAGGCUGGGUGGAGAGGGUGCACCUGAACCCCCAAAACCAUCUAUGGGUCUCAAAGUAUGCAGUGAAUGUGGUAAAGCACUGCUCUGGGGUUUCCUGCUACUUCUGUUCAAAUUAAUACCAUUUAUCAAGUAGGCAUUAGUUGGAGACACCAAGAACUUUGCAGACAUUUGCCUCCCCUGAUUUGAUAAUUCUAAUCCCAGGAAUUUACCCUAAAGAAAUCAUAAGAGAUGAAUGCAAAGAUGUAUGUGCAAGGAUGUUAUAACAGCAAACAACGUGGAAAUAGCUUAAAUGUCUAACAAGAGAUUGGAUUAAUAGUGUGCCAUGCUAUAAGAUACUAUGCAGACAUAUACUUUCAAACACUAUUUUAAUGACACAGGAAAAUUCUUAUGAUGCAAUUUAUGUAGGAAAAAAUCAUUUUAUAUAUAUAUAUAUAUAAUGAGGGCUUGAUAUGUGUGUGUAUCUGUAUAUACAUAUAUUGUAUCUCAUUUUUAUUGAAAUGUGUGUAUAUAUACUAAUAAUGUUUACUUCUAUUUCAUGGGAUG